GGGAGAAGCUCGGCCACGCGUGGGGAAGAGGAGGACAACAUAAGAAUCAGAAUCCAAAAAAAAGCAGCAGCCGCGCGCUCUGCUGGCUCCCAACAUUGCGCCCCUGUCUCCAUCCCCGGAAUUGCUCUCCUGCUGAUCUAAGCAACCUGGAAUGUCCUCAGUGCGAAUCCAGUAUCUCCAAUCAAGUGGCCUGCAGAUGUCCCAAGGGCGGCCACGUGUUUAGUCAAUGAUCCCUCUGCAAAAAAAACGGUCACCCCAAAACAUGACAAAAACAUCGUUGUCCUCCAGAUGAACCUGGAGUCAGUGGGGACAAUCGGGCACGCUCACCCAGGCUGAUCAUCCUUGCCAUUGGUUGACCACGUCCCCUCGCAGAGAGACUCCCACCCAUCUUGGUGGCGCUCAGCCAGUUGGAGAGCCUUCAUAACCAUCAAUGAGCAAAGUGCA